GUCGGCCUGCCUCUCAGAAUUGUAUAAGAAGCUCUUGCUUUGAGAUGUGGCAUGAGCAAAACUGACAGGUCAAACCCAGCAAGAUGGUGUCCCCAUUGCAGCUCCUAGGGCUUCUGCUCCUCUGGGCUCCAGCCUCCAGGGGUGAGAUUGUGCUGACCCAGUCUCCAGCCUUCCUGUCUGGGACUCCAGGAGAGAAAGCCACCCUCACCUGCAGGGCCAGUCAGAGUAUUGGCACAAGCUUACACUGGUACCAGCAGAAACCAGGUCAGCCUCCAAAGCUCCUCGUGAAGUAUGCCUCCCAGUCCGUGUCCUCAGGGUUCAGUGGCAGUGGAUCUGGGACAGAUUUCACCCUCACCAUCAGUAGCUUGAAAGCUGAAGAUGCUGCAACUUAUUACUGUCAGCAGAACAACUAUUAUCCUCCCACUGUGGUGCAACCCAGAACAAAAACUAGCUUAGCCUGGCUGAACAGAGAAAGUGCAUAA